GAUGAACGCUGGCGGCGUGCCUAAUACAUGCCAGUCGAGCGAACGGACGAGAAGCUUGCUUCUCUGAUGUUAGCGGCGGACGGGUGAGUAACACGUGGAUAACCUACCUAUAAGACUGGGAUAACUUCGGGAAACCGUAGCUAAUACCGGAUAAUAUUUUGAACCGCAUGGUUCAAAAGUGAAAGACGGUCUUGCCGUCACUUAUAGAUGGAUCCGCGCUGCAUUAGCUAGUUGGUAAGGUAACGGCUUACCAAGGCAACGAUGCAUAGCCGACCUGAGAGGGUGAUCGGCCACACUGGAACUGAGACACGGUCCAGACUCCUACGGGAGGCAGCAGUAGGGAAUCUUCCGCAAUGGGCGAAAGCCUGACGGAGCAACGCCGCGUGAGUGAUGAAGGUCUUCGGAUCGUAAAACUCUGUUAUUAGGGAAGAACAUAUGUGUAAGUAACUGUGCACAUCUUGACGGUACCUAAUCAGAAAGCCACGGCUAACUACGUG
rnacentral:rRNA from 1 species